AUGGACUUUAACCCUCAGUUCCAUUUGUAUCACUAUGCGGGUGCUAGAGGGUCGCUACCAUUUUGUCACUGUGUUUAUCUGUCUGUCUUUCUGUCUGUUUGUCUGAUUAGGAAAAAAGCAAUUCUUGCUAGUAUGACAAUGUGUGCACUGGAUACUUGCAAAUACAGCAAGAGGGAAACUAACCCAGUCAUACCUGACCAAAUACACUUCUACAGCUCUCUCUCUCUCUCUCUCUCAACAUAUUGACACGUUCUUGUUUAAGCUAUCCAUUUCUCACACUCAAGUCUUUCUCUCACUCUGACAUCCACUACCAUCCAUUCUCUGUCAUCCCUCUGUCCCUCAUGAGCUUGUAAUGCGAAACCACACACCCUUUGACGGGUGGUGAUAGACAUGCAAUAUACUGGAUACAUAUGGGAUCUUGCAACAUAGGCACAACUCACUGUUUGUCAUACACAGGCACAGACACACAUUCACAUAAAGAAUACACAGCACCCCCAAAUGACUUAAUCAAGAGUAGUUUCACUGUAUUAGGCCCACAUUAAUGCAUAAUACACACAUAUGUACACACACAUUUUAACUCGCACAAUACACGUUUAGAUAGAAGCAACAGUAUCACAUAUGUACAGAAUACAUUUUGCACACACACAUAAAUAUGUUUAAAAAAAAUCCACCGCACGCAUGCAAACACACACGCGCGCACACACACACACACACACACACACCAAUAUAGUGUAUCUGUAUUACUGUUUGACACUUCCUAUGGGAAAAGACCCUUUCGUUGAACGACAGAAACACAGCACUGAACUUGUAAUUUAUUGUUUGUACAACUGGUAUGUGAAAAAAGAACCAUGUGAUGAAUUUAUUUAUUAUUAUGGUAAUGUUGUAUCAUGUUUACUAUUUAACUAAGAAUAUGACUGUGCAGAAUAAUUCAUUUUGAAGAAAAUGGUGUUUUCUAGUCAUCUACAUGAAUAUAUGUACAUAAAAUGUAUAUAUUUAAAAG
rnacentral:lncRNA from 1 species